rnacentral:lncRNA from 1 species
CACAGCGCCUGGCCAAAAACAAUUCUUUAAAAAUAUCAGGAAAAACUGAGAAUCUGCUCCAGAUUAAAGGAGACUUAAACAAACAACAAACUGACCACUGGACACAGCAUGUGAUCUGGGGGGUUUCUCUUACAAGAGAGGUUGUAACGAUUGGUAAAAUUUAAGUAAGCCUAGGUUAGCUGGUAUAAUAAUGCUGUAUCCACAUUAACUUCCUGAUUUUGAUGGCUCCUUUGUGGUUAUUGACAUGGUAGAGAUGAGGGUCUCGCUAUGUUGCCUAGGCUGAUCUCAAACUCCUGACCUCAAGUGAUCCUCCCACUUUGGCCUCCCAAAGUGCUGGGAUUAUGGCAUGAGCCAAUAAGCAGUUGGUGCUGAGAACCACCAAACUCGUUGAACCAGAGGGACCAGUCCCUGGAAACACUCUUGGCAAGUUGAAGCAUGGUCCUGCCUGUGCCGGUGGUGGCUGUGGGGGUGGGAGCAUUUAGGUGAGGUGAGCUUAGGGAUGAAGUGCUCUGGCACCCACCCAGGUCCUCCUCCACAUCCGGCUUCCCCCAGACCUCGGGCAAAGACCCAGCGGGGAGCAACACCCCCCACAUGGAGGCGGCAGCAUCUGGAAGGUGACGGGGAGGAGCUUCCCAGGCUUCCCGGGUUGGACACGGAGCCCCGGUUUCUGGCUCCUAGCCAGGGUGUUUAGACUGCUUUGGCCCACUUGCCAGUACAGCCCUAAGACACACGCCGCUCCAACCACACAACCCCAGAGCUCAGCCCUAAGCUGCAAACUCGCUGUACAAAGUAAGUGGGACCACGUUUUAGUUUUGCAAUCUUUUGGGAACACUGAAAAACAAAAAACAAACAAACAAAAAAACUGGUCCUUCCCCAGAUUUAGUCUGAGAAAAACUUAACUUUGGAAGGCAAUCCCCUCACUUUACCCAGAAAGCUGAAGUCCAAAGACAGUAAGUGACCUCCCCAUGGCUAAUGACAGAACCCAGGAGUAGGAGUAGAGUAGAAAACAGAGUGGAAGGAAACUAACAACUGCACUUCUCACCCUCCUCCUCUCAGUCAGUGGGUCUCACUGAAGCCCCCUGAAGCAGUAAGGGCUGCGGGGCCCACACUCUAAAUGAGUCUAAGGCAAUUUCAGGUUCAUGGUAGAUGGCUUCCUAAUGUAUCUCCUUCUCUGAAGCUGUAGAGACGCUGAGAACAAGGGGGAGUCCUCAGCUAACUGCCAGAUGCCCGGGUGUGAGAGGAAAUGAGGCCGAAAGCCCAAGAGGUCAUGCAAAUGACAGCAGACAAGGCCACCAUGGGAUUUGUCCACCCUGGGUGUGGCAACUGUCUGUGCAGUGCCUAUGCCCUGCACAGACAUAGGCAGAGGCCCACAGCAACUCUAAAGGGCCCUCCCAGAAAUAGCCAGCCAGGUUGAGCAGGGCUAAAAAAGAAGAUGAAGGGGUCUCUUUCCUUUCCAAUACCUCCUCUCUUCCUGAGCAUCGUCCCCUCAUUCCAAAAAGGAGCUGUAACGGAGUGAAGGGGAAUGGAGUGGGAAAUUAGUGACAACUCCUGAGACCCUGGACCUGGUCUUCCGGCCCGCCCAGUCACCACACUGCCUUUUCCAGAACAAGAAAACCCACAACAGAGAGGACAACUCUGGCAGGACCCAGGAGAUAAGGUUGGAGCUGGAAGUCAACAUGAACACAGCUCAGUGGGGCUGCUGACCAAGACUGUAGGUGGGGAGGAGUCAUUUUCCCCACUAGGGACCCACAGAGAGCCUCUGGUAAAAAGAAUAUGAAAUCAAACAACCUCCUCUAAAGUCUUCCUGGAACUAGGAAGGAAGACCACAGCUACUACCAACCUGCCCCAACCUCACAUUAGGACCCAGAGAAGUAGUCACCGCCUCCUAGGGCAGGAAGGCCCAUCCCUGGGGGACCUGUCUCUAGCCCUAAAAUGCUGAACUUCUUUUCUGAGGGAUUCCCCUGCACCCUUCUCCCCACCGACAAAGCCCAGAGAAAAAGAGUGAGGAGCAGGGAAAGAAGAUGGAAAACCCAAGAUAAUCUCCUCCUUACAGGAUGAUAUAAAGUAACUGCAAGCAGACAAUUCAAAGGAAGCCCCAAAGUCAGCUACGAGAGAUGGAGACAGAAGGGAAGUAAGGAAGAGUGCCCAGAGGAGCACAGCACUCUCACAGAGAGGAGGAAGUACCACACAGCAGGAAUGCAGGUAAAUGGUCUGAUGUCCGAGAGGAUCCUAGGAUACUGCGUCCCGCCCCACCUGAACAGUCACAGCCAAAACAGCCUCCCCAAUCCCGGGACAUGUUCCCUCUGCCACACGGCUGCUAAGAUCUAAUGGUUAUGGUCCCAGCAGUCCCCAGCAUCUGCUAAAUGCUGGGCUGGUCUUGGGGUCUCAUCCACCCUGGCAGUCUCUCAGGAACAUCUCAGCUUUUCAAUUAAUUAUGCCACAGAUAUGCCCGUUAAAUGUGGUAUACCCUAGACAGUGACUCUCUGGCAUUCAGCCUUCAUGGACCAAAAAAAAAAAAAAACAAAAAAAAGCGGCCGCCCCCUUCGGGUUGGCCACCCUCGCCCUCCGGCGGGGCUGCAGCCGGGGCCGGCGAGGCGGGGUGGGGCACGCGGACCUUCCAGCCUAGGCCCUCGGCCGAGCCUCGCUCGGUGUCCCCACUUCCUGCCACUCCCUGCGGGCCAGAUCUGUCCGGGACAGCCCCGGCGCCCCCGGGAGGCCUGAGCGCCGGGCCCGACUGACCCCCCUGUCCCAGCUGCCGCUGGCUCAUUCCGAGGCAGGACAAUGGGGGACAUCGCGCGUUUGCGUACCGAGUCAGCCUGGCCGGCAAGAAGGGGUUGCUCGGGGGCAGAGGCUAAGGGCACCCUCGCAGGGGUCACGGCCGAAUGCCCUGUCCAGGUGGACCCCACGGCCCUGCCAUCACCAGCCUCCCCCGCGCCGCGCUCGAUUCUUUCGCGUCGAAAACAAAGACUAAUCCGAUACCCCCG